GAACGGGGGUAUUAACACGAGGGUAACCUGCCCAUAAGACUGGGAUAACUCCGGGAAACCGGGGCUAAUACCGGAUAAUAUUUUGAACCGCAGGGUUCGAAAUUGAAAGGCGGCUUCGGCUGUCACUUAUGGAUGGACCCGCGUCGCAUUAGCUAGUUGGUGAGGUAACGGCUCACCAAGGCAACGAUGCGUAGCCGACCUGAGAGGGUGAUCGGCCACACUGGGACUGAGACACGGCCCAGACUCCUACGGGAGGCAGCAGUAGGGAAUCUUCCGCAAUGGACGAAGGUCUGACGGAGCAACGCCGCGUGAGUGAUGAAGGCUUUCGGGUCGUAAAACUCUGUUGUUAGGGAAGAACAAGUGCUAUUUGAAUAAGCUGGCACCUUGACGGUACCUAACCAGAAAGCCACGGCUAACUACGUGCCAGCAGCCGCGGUAAUACUUAGGUGGCAAGCGUUAUCCGGAAUUAUUGGGCGUAAAGCGCGCGCAGGUGGUUUCUUAAUUCUGAUGUGAAACCCCACGGCUCAAC
rnacentral:rRNA from 1 species